ACGCCGCGUGAGUGAUGAAGGCCCUCGGGUCGUAAAGCUCUGUCAGAGGGGAAGAACCCCCUGUCGGUCAAUACCCGGCAGGGCUGACGGUACCCUCAAAGGAAGCACCGGCUAACUCCGUGCCAGCAGCCGCGGUAAUACGGAGGGUGCGAGCGUUGUUCGGAAUUAUUGGGCGUAAAGCGCGUGCAGGCGGCCAUUUAAGUCUGAUGUGAAAGCCCCGGGCUCAACCCGGGAAGUGCAUUGGAAACUGGAUGGCUUGAGUACGGGAGAGGGUAGUGGAAUUCCGAGUGUAGGGGUGAAAUCCGUAGAUAUUCGGAGGAACACCGGUGGCGAAGGCGGCUACCUGGACCGAUACUGACGCUGAGACGCGAAAGCGUGGGGAGCAAACAGGAUUAGAUACCCUGGUAGUCCACGCCGUAAACGAUGGGUACUAGGUGUCGCGGGUAUUGACCCCUGCGGUGCCGAAGCUAACGCA
rnacentral:rRNA from 1 species